rnacentral:lncRNA from 1 species
GAGACAGAGGGAGAAAGGGGUGUUUGUAAGGGUAGAUGUCUGUGAGUGUGUGUGUGUGUGUGUGUGGGGGGGGGGGGGGCUGUCUUGUUUGCAGCUUGUCAGCAAUUGCUUGAGACAAGCUUCCCCUCCACCAUGUGUGAAAGCUACUUGGCGUGAAUGCCCAGACUGUACCAAGUGGCGGCGAGUCAUGAGGGGGGGAGCUGCAAGAAAAACAGACCCACACAGAGACAAUAGGCCCCUGAAGUGUUCCCCCUGAGUUGCUUUGAUGAUGUCCUAGUGUCUAGAUGCUAGAGGGGACCAGGGCUUGCGAGGAAGAAGAAGUCUUUGUGUGCACUCUUUUCACCGGCCAGGACAAAAGAGUGGGGAGUAAGAAGCCCAAAGAGAAGAAAAAACACCAAACAAAUGAAAACCAAAGCGCUCCUCUAGAUGUUUUGUGUCCGCGGUAGUGGGGAAGCGAGGGAAGGAGAGAUCGAGUGAGGAGGAGAAGAGAGCUGCGGUAGCACAGGUUGAUUGGAGAUAAACAGCAGUGUGGACACGGACGCGGACAGAGACAGGGUCUGGUGUCUAUCGCCCAGACGGAGACCCUCUGUGUCGGAGGGUCGCCAUGGUGACGGCCAGGGCCCAUCCCAGAUGGGGUCCAUGUUACAGACACAAAAACCCCUCCUACUCGUCCCCCUACUCGUCCCCAUGCAGCGAGCAGACGUGCCACUGCUGCUCCACGGCUCUGGGCCCGUUUGUGUGGCUGCUAUGUGGUGGCAGCAGGCAGGCAGAGGGGAUUCAACCCAGGACCUGAGUCAGCCUGCCACCCCCUCAGGAUAUAGGUCAGCUCUGGUGAAGUGGCCCACGGGGAGAGAAGGAGAGGUGAGAGAGCGUGACGUGACUGGCUGGGAGACUGCAUGGGACUCUCUCUCUCUCUCAAUUCAAUUCAAUUUAAGGAGCUUUGUUGGCAUGAGAAACAUAUGUUUACAUUGCCAAAGCAAGUGAAAUAGAUAAUAAACAAAAGUGAAAUAAACAAUAGAAAAUGAAC